UCUACGGGGGGCAGCAGUGAGGAAUAUUGGGCAAUGGGCGCAAGCCUGACCCAGCAACGCCGCGUGGGCGAAGAAGGUCUUCGGAUCGUAAAGCCCUUUUGUGAGGGACGAGACAGGACGGUACCUCACGAAUAAGCCUCGGCUAACUACGUGCCAGCAGCCGCGGUAAAACGUAGGAGGCAAGCGUUAUCCGGAUUUACUGGGCGUAAAGGGCGUGUAGGUGGUUAGGAAAGUUGGCUGUGAAAGCUCCUGGCUCAACUGGGNGAGGUCAGUCAAAACUACCUGACUUGAGGGUCGGAGAGGGGUGUGGAAUUCCCGGUGUAGCGGUGGAAUGCUUAGAGAUCGGGAGGAACACCAGUGGCGAAGGCGACACCCUGGCCGACAACUGACACUGAAGCGCGAAAGCGUGGGGAGCAAACAGGAUUAGAUACCCCAGUANUC
rnacentral:rRNA from 1 species